rnacentral:rRNA from 1 species
GCUGAAAAACCUCGACUUCGGAAGGGGUGUAUUUAUUAGAUAAAAAACCAAUGCCCUUCGGGGCUCCCUGGUGAUUCAUAAUAACUAAACGAAUCGCAUGGCCUUGCGCCGGCGAUGGUUCAUUCAAAUUUCUGCCCUAUCAACUUUCGAUGGUAGGAUAGUGGCCUACCAUGGUGGCAACGGGUAACGGGGAAUUAGGGUUCUAUUCCGGAGAGGGAGCCUGAGAAACGGCUACCACAUCCAAGGAAGGCAGCAGGCGCGCAAAUUACCCAAUCCCGACACGGGGAGGUAGUGACAAUAAAUACUGAUGUGGAGCUCUUUAGGGUUUCACAAUUGGAAUGAGAAAAAUCUAAACCACUUAAACGAGGAACAAUUGGAGGGCAAGUCUGGUGCCAGCAGCCGCGGUAAUUCCAGCUCCAAUAGCGUAUAUUAAAGUUGUUGCAGUUAAAAAGCUCGUAGUUGAACCUUGGGCCUGGCCGUCCGGUCCGCCUCACCGCGUGCACUGGUUCGGCCGGGCCUUUCCUCCUGGGGAACCGCAUGCCCUUCACUGGGUGUGCCGGGGAAUCAGGACUUUUACUUUGAAAAAAUUAGAGUGUUCAAAGCAGGCAUUUGCUCGAAUACAUUAGCAUGGAAUAAUAGAAUAGGACGUUGUGGUUCUAUUUUGUUGGUUUCUAGGACCGCCGUAAUGAUUAAUARGGGACGA